CCUACGGGCGGCAGCAGUGAGGAAUAUUGGUCAAUGGACGCAAGUCUGAACCAGCCAUGCCGCGUGCAGGAUGACGGCUCUAUGAGUUGUAAACUGCUUUUGUACGAGGGUAAACCCCGAUACGUGUAUCGUGUUGAAAGUAUCGUACGAAUAAGGAUCGGCUAACUCCGUGCCAGCAGCCGCGGUAAUACGGAGGAUCCGAGCGUUAUCCGGAUUUAUUGGGUUUAAAGGGUGCGUAGGCGGUUUGAUAAGUUAGAGGUGAAAUGUCGGGGCUCAACCCCGAAACUGCCUCUAAUACUGUUGGACUAGAGAAUAGUUGCGGUAGGCGGAAUGUAUGGUGUAGCGGUGAAAUGCUUAGAGAUCAUACAGAACACCGAUUGCGAAGGCAGCUUACCAAACUAUAUCUGACGUUGAGGCACGAAAGCGUGGGUAACAAACAGGAUUAGAUACCCCAGUAGUC
rnacentral:rRNA from 1 species